GCUGUGAGUGGCGGGAGCGACCAUUGAAGAGUCCAUAGCCCGGCAUUCCGGGGCUUCGAGAUCGUCUUGGGCUCCCCUUCUCCCCGCUGAUUGCGUUGUAGGGAAGACGCGGGGACCCUGCCUGGGGAGGGUAGCCGCGCGGUCUGGGGAAAUCAGAUCGCGCCGUCCUGCUGGGCUAAUCCCUGAGGCUCUGCCCUGGCGGGAUCCCAACUCUCGGUUCCGCCCACAGAGUGACCCGGUAGCCCAACUGGUGCUCAGAGUGUCCACCCCAGUACCCGGUGUAGAGGUGCUGCGCUGGGAGGAAGUGACACUUAAACUGAGCUCUGAAGACUGGAAGAAAUCGGUUGGGAUGAAGAAAAGACCAGUGGGAAGAGAGUAUUCUAGCCAGAGGAAACAACGUGUGUCAAGGCUCUGAGAAUGGAGGGAACAUAACAAUGGCAGGUGACAAUUAGUACUUACCAUCGACCAGCCA